rnacentral:rRNA from 1 species
AUUGAACGCUGGCGGCAUGCCUUACACAUGCCAGUCGAACGGCAGCACGGGUGCUUGCACCCGGUGGCGAGUGGCGAACGGGUGAGUAAUACAUCGGAACAUGUCCUGUAGUGGGGGAUAGCCCGGCGAAAGCCGGAUUAAUACCGCAUACGAUCCACGGAUGAAAGCGGGGGACCUUCGGGCCUCGCGCUAUAGGGUUGGCCGAUGGCUGAUUAGCUAGUUGGUGGGGUAAAGGCCUACCAAGGCGACGAUCAGUAGCUGGUCUGAGAGGACGACCAGCCACACUGGGACUGAGACACGGCCCAGACUCCUACGGGAGGCAGCAGUGUGGAAUUUUGGACAAUGGGCGAAAGCCUGAUCCAGCAAUGCCGCGUGUGUGAAGAAGGCCUUCGGGUUGUAAAGCACUUUUGUCCGGAAAGAAAUCCUUGACUCUAAUACAGUCGGGGGAUGACGGUACCGGAAGAAUAAGCACCGGCUAACUACGUG